rnacentral:rRNA from 1 species
CAGCCGCCGCGGUAAUACGGAGGGAGCUAGCGUUGUUCGGAAUUACUGGGCGUAAAGCGCGCGUAGGCGGUUACUCAAGUCAGAGGUGAAAGCCCGUGGCUCAACCCCGGAACUGCCUUUGAAACUAGGUGACUAGAAUCUUGGAGAGGUCAGUGGAAUUCCGAGUGUAGAGGUGAAAUUCGUAGAUAUUCGGAAGAACACCAGUGGCGAAGGCGACUGACUGGACAAGUAUUGACGCUGAGGUGCGAAAGCGUGGGGAGCAAACAGGAUUAGAUACCCCUGUAGUCCCUGUCUCUUAUAA